GAAACCGGGACAGCAAAUCCAGCCACCGCCGCGCCGCUUAGUUGCCGGACAACUAGUCUCUGGGACAUCUAGUCGCUAAGACAUUUCGUCUCCAGGAAGUUUAGUUGCCAGGACAACCAGUUACCAGAUGAAUAGUUGCUAAGACAUCUAGUCACUGAGAAAUUUAGUUGCUGAAACAACUAGUCGCUGAGACAUUUAGUCGCAAGGACAACUAGUCGCCAGGACAUUCUGGCUGGUCAAAAAGAGUGUCUCUUCAAAGUAUCCACUGAUACGUAUUUCUACUAUAGAUGAGAAAAUGAUACACCGUUGGACACAGGUAUUUUUGAAUUCAUCUUUAAAAUAACCACAUUUGCUUGAGCUUUCGUUCAAGACCACACUAGCAGACGCAUAUUGCAUGAAGAUGUUUCUACAAGUUUGCGUAGUGUGAUAGCCUAUUCCCUGCCUCCAUCAUUUCAUCACCAAUCGUAAGACACGGCCGCAUAGCAGGAAUAAUAAGAAACGACCCAAAUAAAUCUGACUCGAUCCCGAUGCCUCCUAAACGUCAGGAAACCACCUGAUGUCAGCUGUCCGAGCAGUGGCAAAAGGAAUUUUGAGUUCAUAUGAAGCGGCAGAGAGGUACGGGGAUCCCAGAAGAACUAUUAGAAACCAUCUCAAGAGUGGCAAGUUAAAAAAAAACACUGGGUAGAAAAGUCUUACGGAGCGAUAACCAGGAAACUGAUCUCGUAAAAAGGAUAAUCAGGCUCGCUGAAAUAGGGCUGCUUGUGACACCACAGAUACUUCGUCGCUCAGUCUAGAAAUUUUGCAAACUUGAUAACAUUAAAAACAAUUUCAAUGAAAAUGCCAAACUCGCUGGUAAAGACUGGUUCAAGGCGUUCAUGAAACGAAAUCCUGAAAUAUCAAAAAGAAAAGCUCAAUUUAUGAAUCCAGUGAGAGCACAGAAACUAAACAAAUUUAUUGUUAAUCAUCACUUCGCAAGAUCAAAUAAAGUCUAUGGUGAACUAGAUCUGAAAAAUCAUCCCGAAAAAAAUUAUAACAUGGAUAAAAAGGUUGCCGUCUAACUGCACUGGGUUCUCCCAUACCACCAACGGUUAUAUUCAAAGGCAAACGGUUGAAGUGCUGAAAAGUGCCAUUUGACAUUUGAUAGGGCAGUUUGUUAUUUCGAUUUGUCCACCUUCGAACUCGCAGAUUCACUCAAUAUAUCUUUAUACUUUGAACCGUCGAACACCACCCUUCAACUUUAGCCCCUCGCCAAAGCAGUAUAUCCGCCAUUUAAACAACACUGGGAUGCUGAAGUUUUAUCAUUCUUGGAACCAAAUCCAGACAAGAAACUCUUAAAUUGAGCUUUAAUAUUAGUUUUUUAACGUCUGGUCUAGAUGCAUGACUCAUAGUAAUAUUAUAAGCGGCUUUAAAGCAACUGGUUUAUAUCCCUUGAAUCCCCAGACUAUUCAGGAAACAGCGUUUGCUCCAUCUAUGUUGACAGAAGUGCCAUCGUCUCUUGCACUUGAUACUAUUGGUAAAGAAAAUUUUUUAUCUCCUGACUCUCCAGCGUUUCUUGAACUUGCCAUCGUCGACAAAGAAAAUUUGCAACUUCCUGAUUCCCACAGGCCAAUGACUCUAGAAUCCUGUAAUAAAUCGCAAGAUGAAGUGUGGUCAGCAUCAACAUCAGCAGGAAGAAUUAGGCAGACCUCAAUCAAGCUUCUGGAAGAUUUUACUGCGCGGUUGACGGUAGUUCUAGUUUGGACCCAAACAGAAAAAAGAACCGCAUCCGUAAAGAAAUCUACUUCCAAAAAUAACAGUGGUACUUUAAAAAAGAAAAAGAGCUGGUACUGUCAUGACUGUUAAGAGGACGAGGUAGCUGAUAUCAGACAAUGCAUUAAAUGCAGCAAAUGGUAUCAUGGGAAUCGUGUCGGUUUGUCGGUAGAUGAUACCGAUACAACUGAGGAUGAACCGAGGUCUGAUAUAAUCCUAAAUAUAUCUGAUGAAUCAUUCCGUGAAAGAAGUCAAAGCAGAAUUAAGAGGAAUACCAGUCAAGAAAAGAGACAAACUGUUUCAGGAAUACUAACAAAGUGGCAGUCUUUUAUUUUAAAAUGAAGUUGUUUGAUAAUUUAUGCUACAAUCCAAGUCUUUAUGCUUCUUGUAGCGGUACAUCACGUAAACAAGAGUCUUAUUGGCUAAAAUCCUAGGAGGCAUUUACUUUACACUGACCUUUUCGAAGAUAAUUUGAGAUACGCUUUUCCAAUAUUUAUAAGGUUUGAGAUUGAGAUUUAAUCGAUUUAUUGUAAAGUGCGGUAAAGUGCGGCGGAAAAUCGGUAGGUUAUCCUGACAAAUUUAAUUCGUGGAUUGCAGCUUUAUAUU